ACACGGACCAAGGAGUGCAACAUGCGUGCGAGUCUUUGGGUGGAAAACCCGUCGGCGCAAUGAAAGUGAAGGCAGGCGCUCCGGCCUGCUGUGGCGAGAGCCUCCUUUGAAAAAGGGGCGCAUCGUCGACCGAUCCCGAGCUACGCUGUGGCGGGAUUUGAGUGAGAGCGUGCCUGUUGCGACCCGAAAGAUGGUGAACUAUGCCUGAAUAGGGUGAAGCCAGGGGAAACCCUGGUGGAAGCUCGCAGCGAUUCUGACGUGCAAAUCGAUCGUCAAAUUUGGGUAUAGGGGCGAAAGACUAAUCGAACCGUCUAGUAGCUGGUUCCCUCCGAAGUUUCCCUCAGGAUAGCUGGAGCCCGGUGGCAGUUUUAUCAGGUAAAGCGAAUGAUUAGAGGUCUUGGGGCUGAAACGGCUUCAACCUAUUCUCAAACUUUAAAUGGGUAAGAAGCUCGGCUUGCUCGGUUGAAGUCGGGCGCAGAAUGCCGGGGCUCCCAGUGGGCCAUUUUUGGUAAGCAGAACUGGCGAUGUGGGAUGAACCGAAAGUCGGGUUAAGGUGCCGGAAUCGACGCUCAUCAGAUCCCAUGAAAGGUGUUGGUUGAUACAGACAGCAGGACGGUGGCCAUGGAAGUCGGAAUCCGCUAAGGAGUGUGUAACAACU
rnacentral:rRNA from 1 species